AAUUACCCAAUCCUGACACAGGGAGGUAGUGACAAGAAAUAACAAUACAGGGCUUAAAGUCUUGUAAUUGGAAUGAUGGGAAUCUAAACCCUUCCCAGAGUAUCGAUUGGAGGGCAAGUCUGGUGCCAGCAGCCGCGGUAAUUCCAGCUCCAAUAGCGUAUAUUAAAGUUGUUGCAGUUAAGAAGCUCGUAGUUGAAUUUCUGCCUUGUCAUUAAUCUCGCUUCCGAGCGUUUUUUUAUUGACUUGGCAUCUUCUGGAUUUGGUGCCUUCGGGUACUAUUUUCCAGGAUUUACUUUGAGAAAACUAGAGUGUUUCAAACAGGCAUUCGCCUUGAAUACUAUAGCAUGGAAUAAUGAAGUAGGACUUUGGUUCUAUUUUGUUGGUUAUUGAGCCAGAGUAAUGGUUAAUAGGAGCAGUUGGGGGCAUUCGUAUUUAA
rnacentral:rRNA from 1 species